GACCCAUAGUACCCCAUUCCUUGCUGCAAUGUAAUUAUAUUUACUUACAAGUGUGCUCCUGGUGGUCUUUAACUGAAGGGCACUGACUGGGUCACUGGUGAAGUUCCCCGCAGGAACUGAGUCAGACCCCAUCUCAGGGCCCUGCACAAGAUAGGUACCUGCUCUAAGGCGUGGACCCUCGCCACAGCCCUGGCCCGUCUUGACGGGCGAGGGUUACUGUACUUGUCCCAACCGUACAGAUGAGAAAGCUGAGACUCAGGGCCAGCAACCCGGGUCCCAGCGGAGCGCCCGGCACGCGCCAACACUUCAGCACCAGUCGCGGUGGCCACCACUGUGCGCGGAGAUGGCUGCGACGCGUGCGCAGAAUCUGGACCCGAAUCCACCCAUUGUCCGUUUUCCGCUGCCGCUGGAGAGAAUCUCUGAGGUCCCCAGGAGAGCCUGCCUGCACGGAAGAGACGCCUCCUCGAUUAAAUGCUGUUUUCCAUGACCGUCUCUGUUCUUCCCAUACGCGAAUGGCAGGCAUUCAGAUCUCCAAGAAUAGAGGAUUAGGAGAGACUCCACCACCUAUGUCCUCACAGUUAAUUAUCGAUUUGUGUCAGUUGCCCAUUUUCUCACUUCCUGUUUGUGUGUCAAGGGGUAUUAAUAAAUCUUUGCCUAUUUAAAGAUA
rnacentral:lncRNA from 1 species